UUUGGAUAAUAACUUGUAGCAUUAUUGUGUUUCAGCCGUGCUUCACUCCAGCACUGGAGGAAAACACAGCUCAGGAGAGAAGUCCCACGGUAAUAGUGGCCAACAUUACAGUGGAGGAUCCAGCACAAGCAUCUCGAAAAGCAGAAACAGCUCUGGCCACGGACACCACUGCUAAAGUUCAAUAGAAGCACUUUAGGGUUAUUCAAUAAAUUUGAGUUUAACAUUUUUUUAACCAAAAAAGUCUACAUUUUAAAUAUUCUCAACUAUGAUUUGGAUUUAUCUAUUUUUUUGUAAUCUAAAAUUUGAAAUGAUCUUUGAAUUCACUUUUAAUUCCCCCCAAAAAUCACACUUCAGUGAAUAACCUUGAUAGAAAUUGCCAGUGAGAUAGCUCAGUGGGCUAAUGCAUCAUCAGUAGAAUCUGUUCAACCCAGCAGGGUUGACUCAGCCCUUCAUCCUUCCGAGCUAGAUAAAAUGAGUACCAUUAUAUUGGGUAAUAGUAACAACCCCUGGAUGUUGGGCUAUGGUAACAUCCCCAAGACGUACUUGAAAACUAUAGUAAUCUGAAUGUGCCUUUCCUGGUUAAAUACUUUAUUAUUAAAAUGCUAAAAUGAAAGCAUAGAUUUUAGUGAAAGCACUAAUUUUGAUUUUAAGGUGCAUUUAUUGCUUAAUUUUCUUGCAGUUCAAACAUAUUAUGCAAC